rnacentral:rRNA from 1 species
UACGAACUGUGCAAACGUUAUUCGGAAUCACUGGGCUUAAAGGGUGCGUAGGCGGCUUGUUAAGUAGGGUGUGAAAUCCCCCGGCUCAACCGGGGAAUUGCGCCCUAAACUGGCGAGCUUGAGUGAGAUAGGGGUGUGUGGAACUUCCAGUGGAGCGGUGAAAUGUGUUGAUAUUGGAAGGAACGCCAGUGGCGAAAGCGACACACUGGGUCUCAACUGACGCUGAGGCACGAAAGUCAGGGGAGCAAACGGG